UCCGUUUGAUCCCGCCAGAGGUUACUGCUAUCGGUGUUCGACUAAGCCAUGCAAGUCAUAUGUUCUUCGUGAACAUGGCAUACUGCUCAGUAACACGUGGAUAACCUGCCCUUGGGUCUGGGAUAACCCCGGGAAACUGGGGAUAAUACCGGAUAACGCAUAUGUGCUGGAAUGCUUUAUGCGUAAAACGGAUUCGUCCGCCCAAGGAUGGGUCUGCGGCCUAUCAGGUAGUAGUGGGUGUAAUGUACCUACUAGCCAACAACGGGUACGGGUUGUGAGAGCAAGAGCCCGGAGAUGGAUUCUGAGACAUGAAUCCAGGCCCUACGGGGCGCAGCAGGCGCGAAAACUUUACAAUGCGGGAAACCGUGAUAAGGGAACACCGAGUGCCAGCAUCAUAUGCUGGCUGUCCAGAUGUGUAAAGUACAUCUGUUAGCAAGGGCCGGGCAAGACCGGUGCCAGCCGCCGCGGUAACACCGGCGGCCCGAGUGGUGACCGUUAUUAUUGGGUCUAAAGGGUCCGUAGCCGGUUUGGUCAGUCCUCCGGGAAAUCUGAUAGCUUAACUGUUAGGCUUUCGGGGGAUACUGCCAGGCUUGGAACCGGGAGAGGUAAGAGGUACUACAGGGGUAGGAGUGAAAUCUUGUAAUCCCUGUGAGACCACCUGUGGCGAAGGCGUCUUACCAGAACGGGUUCGACGGUGAGGGACGAAAGCUGGGGGCACGAACCGGAUUAGAUACCCGGGUAGUCCCAGCCGUAAACUAUGCUCGCUAGGUGUCAGGCAUGGCGCGACCGUGUCUGGUGCCGCAGGGAAGCCGUGAAGCGAGCCACCUGGGAAGUACGGCCGCAAGGCUGAAACUUAAAGGAAUUGGCGGGGGAGCACAACAACGGGUGGAGCCUGCGGUUUAAUUGGACUCAACGCCGGACAACUCACCGGGGACGACAGCAAAAUGUAGGCCAGGCUGAAGACCUUGCCUGAAUCGCUGAGAGGAGGUGCAUGGCCGUCGCCAGUUCGUACUGUGAAGCAUCCUGUUAAGUCAGGCAACGAGCGAGACCCA
rnacentral:rRNA from 1 species